rnacentral:rRNA from 1 species
CCCCACUGCUAUCGGGAUGGGACUAAGACAUGCUAGUCGAGCGUCUCCAAGCUAUGGAAGAGACGCGGCACACAGCUCAGUAACACGUGGCUAACCUGCCCUUGGGACAAGGACAACUCCGGGAAACUGGGGCUAAUCCCUGAUAAGUGAGAACUCCUGGAAUGGAUUCUCGCUCAAAGGACGUUUAGACCAUGCUUCUAAGCGUCGCCCAAGGAGGGGGCCGCGACCGAUCAGGUUGUUGGUGAGGUAACGGCUCACCAAGCCUUUAACCGGUACGGGCCGUGAGAGCGGAAGCCCGGAGAUGGGCACUGAGACAAGGGCCCAGGCCCUACGGGGCGCAGCAGUCGCGAAAACUCCGCAAUACACGAAAGUGUGACGGGGCCAUCCCGAGUGCCAUCCGCUGAGGAUGGCUUUUCCCCAGUGUAUAAAGCUGGGGGAAUAAGGAGAGGGCAAGCCUGGUGUCAGCCGCCGCGGUAAUACCAGCUCUCCGAGUGGUGGGGAUGUUUAUUGGGCCUAAAGCAUUCGUAGCCUGCUUGGCAAGUCCUCCGUUAAAUCCAACGAUUCAAUCGUUGGGCUGCGGGGGAUACUGUCCGGCUAGGGGGCGGGAGAGGCCGACGGUAUCCUCGGGGUAGGGGUGAAAUCCUAUAAUCCCGGGAGGACCACCAGUGGCGAAGGCUGUCGGCUAGAACGCGCUCGACGGUGAGGGAUGAAAGCUGGGGGAGCGAACCGGAUUAGAUACCCGGGUAGUCCCAGCUGUAAACGAUGCAGGCUAGGUGUUGGCGCGGCUACGUGCCGCUCCAGUGCCGCAGGGAAGCCGUUAAGCCUGCCGCCUGGGAAGUACGGCCGCAAGGCUGAAACUUAAAGGAAUUGGCGGGGGAGCACCACAAGGCGUGAAGCUUGCGGUUU